UCCCAUCAUACAAUAAAUUUCGUGAUUCAGCCCCCUCUGAUAAUGAGCAACCUGUUGGGCCUCGUUCUCACAGUUUUCACAUCUCGCCUGCAGCCUUAAAAACUCCUCGGUAUACUCAUCCACCCUUCGGUUCCCUUGUACACAGUCAUGAUACCGGUUAUAUAAGACCUAAGCGUGAUCGCUAAGCAAGAACCGUUGUUCAAACAUCUGCUUCAUCAGCACCCAGUUUCGUAUGGGCUCCAGCCUCUUCCGAUAGC
rnacentral:lncRNA from 1 species